rnacentral:rRNA from 1 species
GUAGGGAAUAUUGGACAAUGGGCGAAAGCCUGAUCCAGCAAUGCCGCGUGAGUGAUGAAGGCCUUAGGGUUGUAAAGCUCUUUUACCAGGGAUGACAAUGACAGUACCUGGAGAAUAAGCUCCGGCUAACUCCGUGCCAGCAGCCGCGGUAAUACGGAGGGAGCUAGCGUUGUUCGGAAUUACUGGGCGUAAAGCGCGCGUAGGCGGCGAUUUAAGUCAGAGGUGAAAGCCCGGGGCUCAACCCCGGAAUAGCCUUUGAGACUGGAUUGCUAGAAUCCUGGAGAGGUGAGUGGAAUUCCGAGUGUAGAGGUGAAAUUCGUAGAUAUUCGGAAGAACACCAGUGGCGAAGGCGGCUCACUGGACAGGUAUUGACGCUGAGGUGCGAAAGCGUGGGGAGCAAACAGGAUUAGAAACCCUGGUAGUCC